GAGUAGGAUGGAGUCUUUGCUUUGGAACUUGGCCUAAGUGCGUUGGCAUCCUGACUCCUUGAGAAAGAGCCCAUCUAGCAUCCCUCUCGCCGUUGCUUCCAGCAACAUGGCCCUUCUUCCAGCUUUAGGAUGUCCUAAGCGCUUCCAACUGUCCAGGUCACACUCUGUCGCAUGUCGUCAUUUCACUUAAGAUAAUGGCCUCUAGUUCCCUCCAUGUUGCUGCAGAAGGCAUGAUUUCACUGUUUUUUAUGGCUGAGUGAAAACAAGAAUGAUUGUGUGGCUACUCAAAGGAUGGUUUCUACUUUGCCCCACGGUAGAGUCAAAAAAUCACAAGUUGAACCAUUGGCUACCCAUUGCUUGAAGCCAACCAGAAGACAGAGGACAAGGCUUCUUGUUGGUUUGAUCCAUGAACCUGGACACAGAACAAGGGGAGGACAGAUGGAAAACAUCCCUGGAGGCCAUCUUGAAGGUCUCCAGCAUCAUUUCGUGUGGAGCCCUAAGGAGUUAAAAGAAAACUUAAAGAAUGGGCUUAUCUGGGGUUGAGAGAAGCAAAUGUUCUGAGAAAUGGGGUCAACUGCAAAAGGCCUGCUAGCACCUAGUGCUCCGCUCACAGCCCGCCUGCACCCAAGCAUUCUGUUGCAAGUGCUCAGCUCACAGCCCACCUGCACCCAAGCAUCUUGUCUACAAGCUUUCAGCUCACAGCCCAUCUGCACACAAGCAUCUUGUUUGCAAGCACUCAGCUCACUGCCCACCUGCACCCAACCAUCCUGUCUGCAAGCACUCAGCUGAAGGAGCACCACCUUAUAAAACUUUCCCUCCAGCCCCUGCCUCUUUGCAGACAGCAGACAACCUUCCUUCUGCUGUCUUACCCAUUGCAUCCUUGCAGUGCAUGUCCUCCUUUCUUUAAUACAUCUGCCUUUUAAAACUCA